rnacentral:misc_RNA from 1 species
CAUGUCCAAAAAUAUAGAUUACAAGCCACCAUGAGGUUCAGAACACUCUUCCACCAGAAGAUGAUCAUCAUGCCCAUCGCUAUCUUCUAUGCAGGCUGCCAUAGGCAGAGAGGGGUGUAACAGUGGUUGGGGGAAUUGUAGCUUCAGCCGAAAUGCAUCAACUCCAUUCAGAUAGUACCGGAAUAGCCGUUUUGCUCUAAUAAACCCAAGACGGCCAUAUAAAGCAAGUGCCCCUUUGUUUGUGACUUCAGCUUCUAAUGUCACCUCUUCACAUCCUGAUUCCAUCAUUACUUUAAUAGAUCUGGUAACAAGUUCAGUGGCAAUGCCUCUUCCACGAUAAGGUUUGAUGACAACUAACAUAGCAAUGUAGCCCCUCAACGUUGUAUUCCGAUGC